CAGUAGGGAAUAUUAGUAAUGGGCGAAAGCCUGAACUAGCAACGCCGCGUGUGCGAAGAAGGCCUUCGGGUCGUAAAGCACUUUUUGAGAGGAUGAGGAAGGACGGUACUCUCAGAAUAAGUCUCGGCUAACUACGUGCCAGCAGCCGCGGUAACACGUAGGAGGCAAACGUUAUCCGGAUUUACUGGGCGUAAAGCGCGUGUAGGUGGUUUGGUAAGUAGGGCGUGAAAGCUCCUGGCUCAACUGGGAGAGGACGUUCUAAACUGCCAAGCUUGAGGAUGGUAGAGGGAGGUGGAAUUCCGGGUGUAGCGGUGGAAUGCGCAGAUAUCCGGAGGAACACCAGUGGCGAAGGCGGCCUCCUGGACCACUCCUGACACUCAGACGCGAAAGCUAGGGUAGCAAACGGGAUUAGAGACCCCGGUAGUCCUAGCCCUAAA
rnacentral:rRNA from 1 species